GGUUCGAUGGCGUGGUUGGUUGUCGCAUCUGUCUAACAUACAACUUGUUCAGCACAGUACUCACACAGAAGGUCCCCAGUUCGAGUCUGGUUCGAAUCA